CUAAUACCGCAUGAGACUACAGAGCUGCAUGGCUCAGUGGUCAAAAGGAGCAAUCCGCUGAAAGAUGGACUCGCGUCCGAUUAGAUAGUAGGCGGGGUAACGGCCCACCUAGUCGACGAUCGGUAGCCGGACUGAGAGGUUGAACGGCCACAUUGGGACUGAGACACGGCCCAGACUCCUACGGGAGGCAGCAUG
rnacentral:rRNA from 1 species